rnacentral:lncRNA from 1 species
AGGAACUCGGGAUCCUCCAGGAGCCUCUUCAUGGGCUCCGGCUGCAGCGCGAGCUCGACAUCAAUGCCGCCUUCUUCUUCCCCGCGUCCGGGAUACAGGUACACCAUCCCGUCGAACUUGUUGUUCCCGCCGCUACGGACCCGCUCGGGCCUCCCGAACCCGAAGUCCACGCCGUACACCUUGAACCGCGGCGAGCUCCCCACGGCGACGCAGUUGGGCCCGGCGUCGCUGUAGUGGAACAGCUUGGGCGCCGCCUCGUACUCCUCGAGCCGCCGGGUCACCGCGGCGGCGUCGUGCUCGUCGAUCGCCUUCUGCAGCAUCCCGGCGGCCAGCUGCGGCGGGGAACCCAGGAGCAUCCCGGCGGGGAUUCCGGUGAAGACGGCCUGGAUGAGGUUCCCGAAGUAGGACGCCGGGACGGGCGGGGAGAGCCUGGCGCGGCAAUCGGCGAAGACGGCGAAGACUGUGAUGUCGG